UACGAAUGUGCUGAAAACGACCGUAAUUCUUAACAAAAUUAUUGUUCGCACAACGGAACUGGCCAAUCAUGUGCUUGUUAUGGGAACAGUAUCGUAUUCUGACAGUCCUGUCAAGUGUCCGUACGGGGCCGAAACCAACGCCUGUAACAACGUCAAGUUUGUGUCGACGGAUCGGCUGAAGGCGCAUUUGGAAGUCGCGCACCAGUUGCCCAAUGUGCAGAUCAAUCUGUUGUGUCCCUGUCCGGCGGAAUGCAACGGAGAUAAGGAAUGUCCGGUUGCCAUAUAUGAUCAGUACUCAGGACUGUAUCUGGUAGAUCAUUUGACCGAGGCUCAUGAGCAGUUCUACAACAAACUCCAGGCAUUACUGUGCUGCGUGGAUGUUGACGAUGACGAUGACCAGGAUGACCUCGAAGCAUUCCUGAAGGAAAACAAUUUGAAUAGGAAAGAUAUGGAUUAUCUCAAGCAUCUGGAUGGGCGUAAAACGUUUCCGGAAUGGACACGCGAUGUGACUAAACCGUUUUAAAGCCAGCUGAUUCCAGACAAAUUCGUUCAGCCAACAGUUGUAGAGAAUCGUUGCUUGUAUUACGUCUGCAACCUUGAACCAUGUAAAGGGAACCGUUUCCCCAGCCCGCGACGAAUCAGAAGUCACAUUUGCACAGUGCACCUGGAACAGGUGCCCAUGCAGACCGACCUUUACUUUGGAUGCCCUGCCCCAGGAUGCAAGGACAUCGUGAAGUCCAACACGAAUCUCAUAAUAUCGCACGUGAAAGCGAUGCAUCCUUCUUUGUGCGGCAGGCCUGAUUACUCGCAGAACGCUUUGCAGAAACGAGAGCGCAUGAUAAUGGAAAUGGAUAGUGGUUCUGUACGGGUCAGUCAGACUCUGGACGAUUCAUCUGAGGAUUCCGAUGACAGCAGUCCUGAUAGCGAAAAGGAGGAGUACACGCGG